GGAUCCAGACUUUGAUCAUGGCUCAGGAUGAACGCUGGCGGCGUGCCUAACACAUGCAAGUCGAACGAAGCUUGACGGAUGAUUUCUUCGGAAUGAAACCUGAUAUGACUUAGUGGCGGACGGGUGAGUAACACGUGAGCAACCUGCCUUUCAGAGGGGGAUAACGGCUGGAAACGGUCGCUAAUACCGCAUGAUGUGUUCGGAUGGCAUCAUCUGAACAUCAAAGAUUUAUCGCUGAAAGAUGGGCUCGCGUCUGAUUAGAUAGUUGGUGGGGUAACGGCCUACCAAGUCAACGAUCAGUAGCCGGACUGAGAGGUUGAACGGCCACAUUGGGACUGAGACACGGCCCAGACUCCUACGGGAGGCAGCAGUGGGGAAUAUUGCACAAUGGGGGAAACCCUGAUGCAGCAACGCCGCGUGAAGGAUGACGGUUUUCGGAUUGUAAACUUCUUUUCUUAGUGACGAAGACAGUGACGGUAGCUAAGGAAUAAGCAUCGGCUAACUACGUGCCAGCAGCCGCGGUAAUACGUAGGAUGCAAGCGUUAUCCGGAUUUACUGGGUGUAAAGGGAGCGCAGGCGGGACUGCAAGUUGGAUGUGAAAUACCGUGGCUUAACCACGGAACUGCAUCCAAAACUGUAGUUCUUGAGUGAAGUAGAGGCAAGCGGAAUUCCGAGUGUAGCGGUGAAAUGCGUAGAUAUUCGGAGGAACACCAGUGGCGAAGGCGGCUUGCUGGGCUUUAACUGACGCUGAGGCUCGAAAGUGUGGGGAGCAAACAGGAUUAGAUACCCUGGUAGUCCACACUGUAAACGAUGAUAGCUAGGUGUGGGGGGUCUGACCCCUUCCGUGCCGGAGUUAACGCAAUAAGCUAUCCACCUGGGGAGUACGACCGCAAGGUUGCAACUCAAAGGAAUUGACGG
rnacentral:rRNA from 1 species